GCUCCUGUGUGGCCAGCAGCUGGCUGCAGUUCCCCAGGAAACAGCUUCCGGCAGACACUCAAUCUCCAGUUGUAACAGGUGGUGUGGAGUCCGCUGUCCCAGGGAGUGGGCUCAAGGCCUAGUCCUGCCAAUGAACUUGCUGUAGAAACUUUUCUGUCUAUCAAAUGAGCUUCUCCAUUUCCACCUUUGCAAACUCUGGACUCCAAGGACGCAAGAUGGCCGGAAACAAGAUGGUGGAGAUGGAGUCCCCCUCUGUCACCCAGGCUAGAGUGCAGCCUGAUUCUACAACUUGGCCAUGUGAUCCUGAGCAAAUUACAUUCCCGUUUCAGUUUUCCCUCUUCAACAACAACAAAAAAGCGUUGGAUUAAGUAAUGAUUAAAACUCCUUUCUGCUGGGCGCGGUGGCUCAUGCCUAUAAUCCCAGCACUUU
rnacentral:lncRNA from 1 species